GGCCAUAAUUUUUGUGUGAUCAUUAACGAUAAAAUGGGUAAAAUGAUAAGUUUAAAGUUGAGUUAUUUUUAAAUUUAAAAUGUGUCAUUUAUUUUGGAAUAAACUAAAAAGUAAAGUACCUUAUUUAAUACAAAACGGAGGGAAUAAUAUUUAUCUUAUACGCAAUAUAAUUUUUUGACGAACGAUCAGCUGACCACGCUUGGGCCAACAGACCUUCGACCCUGCCUGUACGCAUUCGCUUCACACGAGCACGUAGAGGAAAAUCUCCCUCUCGAGUGUAAGCCUCAGUCCUGAUACCACUAGUAUUUACUUGGAUUAUUUUUCUGGGACUACACUAACUUGGACACAACUAGAUACGUCUAGUGCCUAGUAAGGUACUAUGGAGCAUCAUCCUAGGACCUAAAUGGUCAAACGAUGCACACAAGAAGCUUCUUUUUUACAUCGUGACAAUCCUAAAUUACAGAACUGUGAGGCCCAAAGCAAGAUUAUUUAAGUCAUGAAUUUAAUCAAGAAUACAACUCCAUUUUGGUUGAACAAUCUAGUUGGACUUCACAAGGUGCGAUGUCACUUCAUUUAGAAGGCCAAAAUUCAUGCCAGUGCUGAGUGACGACGCAUCUUUGUCAAAUACGAUCAUGUCACCUGCAAAAUAAAUCAAGAGACAGUCGAAGUAUUGGCAAAGUGGCUUUGCGAUCACUUAAACUUGUACCAAAUUUUAAAAUUGAUAUAUAAACAUUUGAUUUUUUCAUUUUAGCACUUUAACCCAACCAAUUGAGUAUAAAAAACCUCUUCGUCAGAGCGUGUAACUCAAUUGCCUGACAGGAAGAACAUAUCAAAUUUUAAGACCAUUUAUAAUUUUUCAUGUGUCAUUCGUGGGUCUCUUUUUGUUAAACUAAUUUAUCAAAAUUUCUUUCUUAUUUUACUUCUUUCACUAUUUCUUCUAUAGCUUUUAGCGCUGCAGUCCGAGAAAAAAGUCUCAGCCAUAACCGGACCACAUGUCUCAAUCAGCCAUGAACUUUCAUAAAAUACAUUCUAUCUUUCACUUUUAAUAAAAUUCAUAGAAUUCAUACCCAAGUCAAAGAGUCGAUAGGGUACCUGUUAAAAUUCUGUCAAGGGACAAGAGAGCCGGCGAGGCUAUGUCCAAGAAGGACAUGAAUGGUAAAAUCAAAACGAGAGAAGAAGUCGGACUCAAGUGGAAUUUUCCGGUAAAACUCGAUAAUUUUCCGAUGAUCUUUCACUUUUGUCUAGCUAUCUUCUAGUCUGAGAUGGAUACAAAAAAGAGAGAGGAAGUUAAUGUGAGAAAAAGGGUUGACAAGAAUUUCUUUGACAAAUUCAUCAUUUUUCUUUGUCUUUCACUAUGCUAGGUUUGAAACAAAAAGAGGAAGAGGCGGAAAAGGUUGGAGCGGGGGAGAAAGAAAAGAAGGGGGAAGUGUGGGGCAGACGACAGUGGGAAAAGGGAAAAAGAAACAAAAA
rnacentral:lncRNA from 1 species